ACUUCAAAUAAAGCUGAAAUUUAUUUAAAUCCUGUCAGGAUAGCGACAAAGAGGAUUACUUCGCCCGUCUGGUUUCAAAACAAACAGCAAUUACCAUAAUUACACGCGAAUCAAAAUGUAUUUCUCACCCCUUGAUGCAUCGUGUGGAAAGUCCGACCCCUAAGGCACGUACUGGCAAGGAAAAUCUACUUAAUUUGCUU